rnacentral:rRNA from 1 species
UGGGGGUUAUUGCACAAUGGGCGAAAGCCUGAUGCAGCGACGCCGCGUGGGGGAUGAAGGCCUUCGGGUUGUAAACUUCUUUUGCUCUGAACAAGGCAUGCUAAUGGGUGUGUUGAGUGUAGGGGUUGAUUAGCGCCGGCUAACUACGUGCCAGCAGCCGCGGUAAUACGUAGGGCGCGAGCGUUGUCCGGUAUUAUUGGGCGUAAAGGGCUUGUAGGUGGCUGGUUGCGUCUGUCGUGAAAGCUCAUGGCUUAACUGUGGGUUUGCGGUGGGUACGGGCUGGCUUGAGUGCAGUAGGAGAGGCUGGAAUUCCUGGUGUAGCGGUGGAAUGCGCAGAUAUCAGGAGGAAUACCGGUGGCGAAGGCGGGGCUCUGGGCUGUUACUGACACUGAGGAGCGAAAGCAUGGGGAGCGAACAGG